CACGUAGGGCGCAAGCGUUGUCCGGAAUUAUUGGGCGUAAAGAGCUCGUAGGCGGUCUGUUGCGUCUGCUGUGAAAACCCGGGGCUUAACCCCUGGCUUGCAGUGGAUACGGACAGACUAGAGGUAGGUAGGGGAGACUGGAAUUCCUGGUGUAGCGGUGAAAUGCGCAGAUAUCAGGAGGAACACCGAUGGCGAAGGCAGGUCUCUGGGCCGAUACUGACGCUGAGGAGCGAAAGCGUGGGGAGCGAACAGG
rnacentral:rRNA from 1 species